GGGGUUGUGGCUCAGUGGUAGAGCGCUUGCCUGGUACUUAUGAGGCACUGGGUUUGAUCCUCAGCACCA
rnacentral:tRNA from 1 species